UAUAUUGAAAACUCUUCUCUUGGGCUUUGUAAAGUUUUAGGCCAAACCACACACGUACGCAUGGGAUCCAACUUGGCUCGGAUGUGAUCGCACUGUACCCGCAUCUGCGGCAUGGCAAGGCUCACAUUUUUUCUCUAUUUAUUUUUUGAAUGAUUACUACUAUUUUUUCUUAUUUAAUUUGAGAUAAAUAUCAUAUUUUAAUGUUGCUUUUUUGCCUAUUGAUUUUCUACCCAUU
rnacentral:lncRNA from 1 species